UCCUGGCUGGCUCAGUCAGUGGAGCAUGCAACUCUUAAUCUCAACAUGGGUUCAAGCCCCAUGUUGGGUA
rnacentral:tRNA from 1 species